rnacentral:misc_RNA from 1 species
UCUGCCCCAAUGGCAUAGUCAUGCUCACAAUUGUGCUUUCCUGGGAAAAUAUACUCUUCCAUUUAAGGGUUGCAUCUCGCUAAACACUAGCGAUCCACUACAAUGAUCUACUCGGACAGGGAACCGACCCACCAACCAUUGACUAGAUCAAUUCCAGGCUACUCUCUACUCAAAGGCAAGUAAAUAUAGAACAUGGUUCAUUGGUCCCAUUUCUAAAAGUGUG